AGUGAACGCUGGCGGUAGGCCUAACACAUGCAAGUCGAACGGCAGCACAGUAAGAGCUUGCUCUUACUGGUGGCGAGUGGCGGACGGGUGAGGAAUACAUCGGAAUCUACUUUUUCGUGGGGGAUAACGUAGGGAAACUUACGCUAAUACCGCAUACGACCUACGGGCGAAAGCAGGGGAUCUUCGGACCUUGCGCGAUUGAAUGAGCCGAUGUCGGAUUAGCUAGUUGGCGGGGUAAAGGCCCACCAAGGCGACGAUCCGUAGCUGGUCUGAGAGGAUGAUCAGCCACACUGGAACUGAGACACGGUCCAGACUCCUACGGGAGGCAGCAGUGGGGAAUAUUGGACAAUGGGCGCAAGCCUGAUCCAGCCAUACCGCGUGGGUGAAGAAGGCCUUCGGGUUGUAAAGCCCUUUUGUUGGGAAAGAAAAGCAGCAGGUUAAUACCCCGCUGUUCUGACGGUACCCAAAGAAUAAGCACCGGCUAACUUCGUG
rnacentral:rRNA from 1 species